AAAUGGAUGGCGCUGGAGCGUCGGGCCUAUACCGGACCGUCGGCGCAGUGCAUGUACGCGCACACUGUAACGUACCAUGCGCCGACGAGUAGGAGGGUCGCUGUGGUGAGCGUUGAAGGCUUGGGCGUGAGCCUGGCUGGAGCCGCCACGGGUGCAGAUCUUGGUGGUAGUAGCAAGUAUUCAAAUGAGAACUUUGAAGACUGAAGUGGAGAAGGGUUCCAUGUGAACAGCAGUUGGACAUGGGUCAGUCGAUCCUAAGUCGCACACUAAUGUCGAUCAUGUGUAGUGGCCGAGAGCUGUCUGGCGUUUCGGAUGUUAUGAUCGUUCAAGGCGCUGACGAUGAAUUGAUCGCUGGUGGUAGUAGAUGAGCGGCCGGACACAGCGUAACAUUGUACACGCCACUCUUGUGGUGCGUACGCUGUUGCGCUGUCAAGGCCCGCUGUCGUCUACCCACCAGCGAUAUAUAUAUAUAAU
rnacentral:rRNA from 1 species